UACAGAGGUCUCAAGCGUUGUUCGGAUUCAUUGGGCGUAAAGGGUGCGUAGGCGGCGCGGUAAGUCGGGUGUGAAAUUUCGAGGCUUAACUUCGAAACUGCAUUCGAUACUGCCGUGCUUGAGGACUGGAGAGGAGACUGGAAUUUACGGUGUAGCGGUGAAAUGCGUAGAUAUCGUAAGGAAGACCAGUGGCGAAGGCGGGUCUCUGGACAGCUCCUGACGCUGAGGCACGAAGGCCAGGGGAGCAAUCGGG
rnacentral:rRNA from 1 species